AGCGCAUACGGUGGAUGCCUUGGCAGUCAGAGGCGAUGAAAGACGUGGUAGCCUGCGAAAAGCUUCGGGGAGUCGGCAAACAGACUUUGAUCCGGAGAUGUCUGAAUGGGGGAACCCAGCCAUCAUAAGAUGGUUAUCUUACGCUGAAUACAUAGGCGUAAGAGGCGAACCAGGGGAACUGAAACAUCUAAGUACCCUGAGGAAAAGAAAUCAACCGAGAUUCCCUUAGUAGUGGCGAGCGAACGGGGACUAGCCCUUAAGUGGCUUUGAGAUUAGCGGAACGCUCUGGAAAGUGCGGCCAUAGUGGGUGAUAGCCCUGUACGCGAAAAUCUCUUAGUCAUGAAAUCGAGUAGGACGGAGCACGAGAAACUUUGUCUGAAUAUGGGGGGACCAUCCUCCAAGGCUAAAUACUACUGACUGACCGAUAGUGAACUAGUACCGUGAGGGAAAGGCGAAAAGAACCCCGGAGAGGGGAGUGAAAUAGAUCCUGAAACCGUAUGCGUACAAGCAGUGGGAGCCCACUUUGUUGGGUGACUGCGUACCUUUUGUAUAAUGGGUCAGCGACUUAUUUUCAGUGGCGAGCUUAACCGAAUAGGGGAGGCGUAGCGAAAGCGAGUCUUAAUAGGGCGUCUAGUCGCUGGGAAUAGACCCGAAACCGGGCGAUCUAUCCAUGGGCAGGUUGAAGGUUGGGUAACACUAACUGGAGGACCGAACCGACUACCGUUGAAAAGUUAGCGGAUGACCUGUGGAUCGGAGUGAAAGGCUAAUCAAGCUCGGAGAUAGCUGGUUCUCCUCGAAAGCUAUUUAGGUAGCGCCUCAUGUAUCACUGUAGGGGGUAGAGCACUGUUUCGGCUAGGGGGUCAUCCCGACUUACCAAACCGAUGCAAACUCCGAAUACCUACAAGUGCCGAGCAUGGGAGACACACGGCGGGUGCUAACGUCCGUCGUGAAAAGGGAAACAACCCAGACCGUCAGCUAAGGUCCCAAAGUUAUGGUUAAGUGGGAAACGAUGUGGGAAGGCUUAGACAGCUAGGAGGUUGGCUUAGAAGCAGCCACCCUUUAAAGAAAGCGUAAUAGCUCACUAGUCGAGUCGGCCUGCGCGGAAGAUGUAACGGGGCUCAAACCAUACACCGAAGCUACGGGUAUCACGUAAGUGAUGCGGUAGAGGAGCGUUCUGUAAGCCUGUGAAGGUGAGUUGAGAAGCUUGCUGGAGGUAUCAGAAGUGCGAAUGCUGACAUGAGUAACGACAAUGGGUGUGAAAAACACCCACGCCGAAAGACCAAGGUUUCCUGCGCAACGUUAAUCGACGCAGGGUUAGUCGGUCCCUAAGGCGAGGCUGAAAAGCGUAGUCGAUGGAAAACAGGUUAAUAUUCCUGUACUUCUGGUUAUUGCGAUGGAGGGACGGAGAAGGCUAGGCCAGCUUGGCGUUGGUUGUCCAAGUUUAAGGUGGUAGGCUGGAAUCUUAGGUAAAUCCGGGAUUCUAAGGCCGAGAGCUGAUGACGAGCUAACUUUUAGUUAGCGAAGUGGUUGAUGCCAUGCUUCCAAGAAAAGCUUCUAAGCUUCAGGUAACCAGGAACCGUACCCCAAACCGACACAGGUGGUUGGGUAGAGAAUACCAAGGCGCUUGAGAGAACUCGGGUGAAGGAACUAGGCAAAAUGGCACCGUAACUUCGGGAGAAGGUGCGCCGGUGAGGGUGAAGGACUUGCUCCGUAAGCUCAUGCCGGUCGAAGAUACCAGGCCGCUGCGACUGUUUAUUAAAAACACAGCACUCUGCAAACACGAAAGUGGACGUAUAGGGUGUGACGCCUGCCCGGUGCCGGAAGGUUAAUUGAUGGGGUUAGCUAACGCGAAGCUCUUGAUCGAAGCCCCGGUAAACGGCGGCCGUAACUAUAACGGUCCUAAGGUAGCGAAAUUCCUUGUCGGGUAAGUUCCGACCUGCACGAAUGGCGUAACGAUGGCGGCGCUGUCUCCACCCGAGACUCAGUGAAAUUGAAAUCGCUGUGAAGAUGCAGUGUAUCCGCGGCUAGACGGAAAGACCCCGUGAACCUUUACUAUAGCUUUGCACUGGACUUUGAAUUUGCUUGUGUAGGAUAGGUGGGAGGCUUUGAAGCGUGGACGCCAGUCUGCGUGGAGCCAUCCUUGAAAUACCACCCUGGCAACUUUGAGGUUCUAACUCAGGUCCGUUAUCCGGAUCGAGGACAGUGUAUGGUGGGUAGUUUGACUGGGGCGGUCUCCUCCUAAAGAGUAACGGAGGAGUACGAAGGUGCGCUCAGACCGGUCGGAAAUCGGUCGUAGAGUAUAAAGGCAAAAGCGCGCUUGACUGCGAGACAGACACGUCGAGCAGGUACGAAAGUAGGUCUUAGUGAUCCGGUGGUUCUGUAUGGAAGGGCCAUCGCUCAACGGAUAAAAGGUACUCCGGGGAUAACAGGCUGAUACCGCCCAAGAGUUCAUAUCGACGGCGGUGUUUGGCACCUCGAUGUCGGCUCAUCACAUCCUGGGGCUGAAGCCGGUCCCAAGGGUAUGGCUGUUCGCCAUUUAAAGUGGUACGCGAGCUGGGUUUAGAACGUCGUGAGACAGUUCGGUCCCUAUCUGCCGUGGACGUUUGAGAUUUGAGAGGGGCUGCUCCUAGUACGAGAGGACCGGAGUGGACGAACCUCUGGUGUUCCGGUUGUCACGCCAGUGGCAUUGCCGGGUAGCUAUGUUCGGAAUAGAUAACCGCUGAAAGCAUCUAAGCGGGAAACUAGCCUCAAGAUGAGAUCUCACUGGAACCUUGA
rnacentral:rRNA from 1 species